GGGGCUGUAGCUCAGCUGGAAGAGCACCUCGCUGGCAGCGAGGGGGUCAGGGGUUCGAGUCCCCUCAGCUCCA
rnacentral:tRNA from 1 species